CCUACGGGUGGCAGCAGUGAGGAAUAUUGGUCAAUGGGCGCGAGCCUGAACCAGCCAAGUCGCGUGAGGGAAGACGGUCCUAUGGAUUGUAAACCUCUUUUGUCGGGGAGCAAAAGACGCCACGCGUGGCGUUCCGAGAGUACCCGAAGAAAAAGCAUCGGCAAACUCCGUGCCAGCAGCCGCGGUAAUACGGGGGAUGCGAGCGUUAUCCGGAUUUAUUGGGUUUAAGGGGUGCGGGGGCGGAAGAUCAAGUCAGCGGGAAAAUUGAGUGGCUCAACCUCUUCGAGCCGUUGAAACUGGUUUUCUUGAGUGAGCGAGAGGUAUGCGGAAUGCGUGGUGUAGCGGUGAAAUGCAUAGAUAUCACGCAGAACACCGAUGGCGAAGGCAGCAUACCGGCGCUCAACUGACGCUCAUGCACGAAAGUGUGGGUAUCGAACAGGAUUAGAUACCCGGGUAGUC
rnacentral:rRNA from 1 species